rnacentral:misc_RNA from 1 species
UAAAGUGCGAUAUGAAGUGCGAUUUGCAUGAAUCUGUGAGUCAUCAUAUAUUUGAACGCAACUUGCGCCUAGGAAUAGGCAUGUAUGUUUGAGGGUCGGAAAAGAAUGGGACCGAAAGGAAACGAGAUGCCAGCAUUGGAUGCGGGUGAAAAGGAGCAAGAGUUGAUGGGAGAUAUUGACUUGUGAUGGAGAGCAAUGCUCUUCUCAAGAGAAUAUUCUCAAGACUAUGAUAAACAAGAUAAACACGCUGACCUCAAAUCAUGCAAGAUUACCCGCUGAACUUAA